CGGGAUGUAGUUCAGUUGGUAGAACACUUGGUUUGGGACCAAGGGGUCGUACGUUCGAGUCGUAUCAUCCCGA
rnacentral:tRNA from 1 species